GCAGCACCAGGGAGGGAGAUAGACACAGGCUGCUGGCUGUUCCUUCUGGACCCUGCUGCUGACCCAGGAGAAACCUGACCUGGAGGAAGGAUUGAGGUGACCAGAACUGCCAGCUGCUGAGUACCCAGAGGACCUGGAGGGGCCAGGCUGUAACCCGGGCCAGCGUGAGCCUGACACAGAGGGGGAGCUGGCGCUGGCGCUGAAGCUGCUAGCAGCUGAAUACUCGGAUGAGCUGGAGAGGCCCACUUGAGAGACCGGAAUUCCAAUGAAAGCCAUUCUACCAUGUUUCACUUGAUGUCAGAAUCGACUUCCACCUCCAGGUGGAAUCUUUAUGGGGUGAAUAAAGACUGGAAGAGUUAUGCAGAGGGUUUUAUUAUAAAGCCAGAAAUCAUUUGGUUGACAUUAAUGGGAAAGUCUGUCUUUUGGAGAGGUCCACAUCUCUGAACGCUAUUUCCUGCUCUCAAGGUUCUCUAAUGCAAUGAACCUAAAUAUAUGAACUCUCCAGAAUCUAACAUCAGACUUUGGUUUGGACCUUCAGCUCACUUGCACCAGCCUGACAGGAGAGAUGGGAAUUACUUUACUUCUCUCAUGCUUCAGAAACAUGUGUAUAUGAGAUGAGUUGCCUAAGGGCUACAUUCUUUUUAAAUAUUAGUGCUAAGUGUUUGAGAUAGAGGUGCUCCUGUUUUAUUUAACAGUAUUUGUGCCAUUCAGCUUUGAAAUGUAUUGUUUUAAUCAGACGUCACUGUGUUUUUCCUUAAAUUCCAAAGGACUUUUAAAAAAAGACAAAUGAUACAUUGUUUAAAUACAAUAUCUUGCUAUUCUCGCUCCUCAGGAGAAGGAAACUUGCCUGUUGUAGCAGCAACAGGAGGCAAUUACCUCUUGCACCCUAGCCAGU